rnacentral:rRNA from 1 species
UACGUAGGCAGCAAGCGUUGUUCGGAGUUACUGGGCGUAAAGGGGGUGUAGGCGGUUGUUUAAGUUUGGUGUGAAAUCUCCCGGCUCAACUGGGAGGGUGCGCCGAAUACUGAAUGACUGGAGUGCGGGAGAGGAAAGUGGAAUUCCUGGUGUAGCGGUGAAAUGCGUAGAUAUCAGGAGGAACACCGGUGGUGUAGACGGCUUUCUGGACCGUAACUGACGCUGAGACACGAAAGCGUGGGUAGCAAACAGG